GCCCGGGUGGCGAAAUGGGUAGACGCAAGGGAUUUAAAAUCCCUCGGCCUCAGGCCGUGCCGGUUCGAGUCCGGCUCCGGGCA
rnacentral:tRNA from 1 species